AGGACGAACGCUGGCGGCGUGCUUAACACAUGCAAGUCGAGCGGUAAGGCUCCUUCGGGAGUACACGAGCGGCGAACGGGUGAGUAACACGUGAGCAAUCUGCCCUUCACAUCGGAACAACCAUUGGAAACGAUGGCUAAUACCGAAUACGACUUCGGACCGCAUGGCCUGAAGUGGAAAGCUCCGGCGGUGAAGGAUGAGCUCGCGGCCUAUCAGCUUGUUGGUGAGGUAAUAGCUCACCAAGGCGAUGACGGGUAGCCGGCCUGAGAGGGUGACCGGCCACACUGGGACUGAGACACGGCCCAGACUCCGUACGGGAGCAGCAGUGGGGAAUAUUGGACAAGUGGGCGAAAGCCUGAUCCAGCAACGCCGCGUGAGGGAUGGAACGGCCUUCGGUUCGUAAACCUCGUUUACAGUCGGGACGAAGGCCGAAAGUCGACGGUACCCGCGAGAAGAAGCACCGGACCAACGUACGUGACCAGCCGACGCCGAC
rnacentral:rRNA from 1 species